rnacentral:rRNA from 1 species
AUUGAACGCUGGCGGCAGGCCUAACACAUGCAAGUCGAACGAGUGGCGGACGGGUGAGUAAUGUCUGGGAAACUGCCUGAUGGAGGGGGAUAACUACUGGAAACGGUAGCUAAUAACGCAUACCAUCAGAUGUGCCCAGAUGGGAUUAGCUAGUUGGUGGGGGAACGGCUCACAAAGGCGACGAUCCCUAGCUGGUCUGAGAGGAUGACCAGCAACACUGAGACUGAGAAACGGCCCAGACUCCGACGGGAGGAAGAAGUGGGGAGUAUUGCACAAUGGGCGCAAGCCUGAUGCAGCCAUGCAGCGUGUAUGAAGAAGGCUUUCGGGUUGUAAAGUACUGGCAGCGGGGAGGCGUUACCCGCAGAAGAAGCACCGGCUAACUCCGUGCCAGCAGCCGCGGUAAUUC